UACGAAGGGUGCAAGCGUUGUUCGGAAUUAUUGGGCGUAAAGGGUUCGUAGGUGGGAAGAUAAGUCAAGUGUGAAAUCCCUGAGCUUAACUCAGGACGUGCAUUUGAAACUGUUUUUCUUGAGUGUUGGAGAGGAUCGUGGAAUUGCUGGUGUAGGAGUGAAAUCCGUAGAUAUCAGCAGGGACACCUGAGGCGAAGGCGGCGAUCUGGCCAAACACUGGCACUGAGGAACGAAAGCGUGGGGAGCAAACAGG
rnacentral:rRNA from 1 species